ACAUGAGGACAGAAAUCAUGGAGAGUGGGAUUGGCAUGAUGAACUGGACCGUUUCUCAACAGGCCUAUUCCCAAUCCUUGAACCACAAAAACAGC